rnacentral:misc_RNA from 1 species
GGAUGAAGAACGUAGUGAAAUGCGAUAAGUAGUGUGAAUUGCAGAAUUCAGUGAAUCAUCGAAUCUUUGAACGCACAUUGCGCCCCAUGGUAUUCCGUGGGGCAUGCCUGUUCGAGCGUCAUUUACCCCCUCAAGCUCCGCUUGGUGUUGGGCGUCUGUCCCGCUUCGCGCGCGGACUCGCCCCAAAGGUAUUGGCAGCGGUCGUGCCAGCUUCUCGCGCAGCACAUUGCGCUUCUCGAGGCACCGGUGGGCCCGCGUCCAUCAAGCUCACCCCCCCAGUUUGACCUCGGAUCAGGUAGGGAUACCCGCUGAACUUAAGCAUAUCAAUAAGCGGAGGA